ACUAACUUUGUUACAACAAUAUACCAUUGCAGAAUCUGAGAAGUGAUAGGACUCCCCCAGGAGCCCAAGGUGACAGAGAGCCUGAGCUUGGAUUCACAGUAAGAUACCCUAACUCUGGACUCAUUGCCCUUCUAAAAACUGUCCACUGAAUCUCAACACAGCUCUGUCUCCUUUGAAGAUUUCUCUCAGCAUUGUGCAACUAGAAAUUAAUACACAGAAAAGUAACAUCAAAUACCUUGACCCGAGUGAUUUAUCUCUUAAAAGCAGAACACUUGAAGUGAUAUUGAAAGAAGUGGGAGUCAUGCCUGGCUAUAAGGGGACUCAGAGUAGCUGGUUUCAAAUAAUUCAAGGAAAGGUAAUGCUAUGUUUGGAUUGUCUCGCAGGCAUAGAAGCAGAUUUUAAUUUAGAAGAAAAUUUAGAAGUUACAU
rnacentral:lncRNA from 1 species